AGAGAGAGAGAGAGAGAGAGAGAGAGAGUAAGACCAAGUGUGAGGAAGAGCGACACAACACAUGCGCAUGCAUGCCCUUCGCUAGUUGGAUGCCUACUCCCAGUGCCUUUUUCGGCGGGUGCAUGCAAGGUUCCCGACAUUGUCGAAGUUUGUAGUUGUUGCCUAGCUAUGUGUUGGAGUUUCCUGGUAGUGUGGCAGCAUUAGAUCAUCCCAUCGAGCCCGAAUUUGGGGGUCGAGUUGUCGAGCUGUCAACUCAAGAAGUAGCUAGGUAAGUAGGAUUGCUUGACUAGCUUUUUAAGUUAGGGUUGACUUAGAGUAAUUAGAGUUCCGAUUUUAGAUUGUGACCCUAGGGUUUGGUGUUCCCCGAAACCCCCAAUUUUCGGGGGGAGGAGCCGCAAUCCGGCAGCGAGAUCAGGUUGGAGAGCUCAAAUCUAGGAAACCCUGACCAUGAUAAGGAAUUUUAGAGGUAGGGCAAGACCUCUGGAGCUAGCGUAGCGUCCGGCUAGGAGCAGAGUGUGGAAGAGAUUGUUUUUCUUUGUUAACUUAUAUUCUGUCUAAUUUUUUUUUAUUGUAGCUAUGUUAUCCCCAAUUGGAGGAUUUAUACUUGAUUACAUUUUGGAUAAUUACCUUGACAUUCUUUGGUUUAGUUAUCUAUGCCCACAUUUGUUUA